GACGAACGCUGGCGGCGUGCCUAAUACAUGCAAGUUGAACGCUAAAGCUUUAACUGGUGCUUGCACCGACCUAAGUUUUUAGAGUAGCGGACGGGUGAGUAACACGUGGGUAACCUGCCCAUCAGAGGGGGAUAACACUUGGAAACAGGUGCUAAUACCGCAUAAUUCCUUUUACCGCAUGGUAAAAGGCUGAAAGGCGCUUCUGGUGUCACUGAUGGAUGGACCCGCGGCGCAUUAGCUAGUUGGUGUGGUAAAGGCUCACCAAGGCGAUGAUGCGUAGCCGACCUGAGAGGGUGAACGGCCACACUGGGACUGAGACACGGCCCAGACUCCUACGGGAGGCAGCAGUAGGGAAUCUUCCGCAAUGGACGAAAGUCUGACGGAGCAACGCCGCGUGAGUGAAGAAGGUUUUCGGAUCGUAAAACUCUGUUGUCAGAGAAGAACGAAUGUGAGAGUAACUGCUCAUGUUGUGACGGUAACUGACGAGAAAGCCACGGCUAACUACGUGCCAGCAGCCGCCGUAACAC
rnacentral:rRNA from 1 species